AAAAAUAACCUAAUUGAACUAAAAUCUCAAAUAAAUAUCAAAUCAAUUAAGAAACUGAUAAGAACAUUUUUCAUAGAUUCAUCAUCAUUUAAAGAGGUUAAGAAAAUAUUUUUGCAUUUUUUGAAUAUUGGAAACUAUUUAAAAUGAAUUAAAAAUAACCAGAAAAGAGAAAAUUCACAAAAAAUAUCAAAUGGCAAAAUAAAAAAUAUUAAUAAUCAUUUUCAGAAACUAGAAUUAAAAAGGGAAAUAAUGCAAUUGGUCCCAUAUUUUUU
rnacentral:lncRNA from 1 species